GGGGAAUAUUGGAAAAGGGCCAAAGCCUGGACCCGCCAUUGCGGGGGUGUUAAAGAGGUUUUUGGGUUGUAAAGCCACUUAAAGUGGGGGGAAGGGGUGUAGGAUAAUAACUUGCCAUUUUUACGUUAACGAAAAGAUCAGCCCCGGGCUACUUUGUUCCAGCAGCCGCGGUAAUACGAAGGGUGCAAGCGUUAAUCGGAAUUACUGGGCGUAAAGCCGCGCGUAGGUGGUUCGUUAAGUUGGAUGUGAAAGCCCCGGGCUCAACCUGGGAACUGCAUCCAAAACUGGCGAGCUAGAGUACGGUAGAGGGUGGUGGAAUUUCCUGUGUAGCGGUGAAAUGCGUAGAUAUAGGAAGGAACACCAGUGGCGAAGGCGACCACCUGGACUGAUACUGACACUGAGGUGCGAAAGCGUGGGGAGCAAACA
rnacentral:rRNA from 1 species